UACGAAGGGUGCUAGCGUUGUUCGGAAUCACUGGGCGUAAAGCGCGCGUAGGCGGCCAAUCAAGUCAGGGGUGAAAUGCCGGAGCUUAACUUGGAAACUGCCAUUGAUACUAUCAAUCUUGAAUACCGUGGAGGUCAGCGGAAUAUGUCAUGUAGCGGUGAAAUGCUUAGAUAUGACAUAGAACACCAAUUGCGAAGGCAGCUGGCUACACGAAUAUUGACACUGAUGCACGAAAGCGUGGGGAUCAAACAGG
rnacentral:rRNA from 1 species